AUCCUGAUGACGAGUCCUAGCAUAGGACGAAAUCCACUAGAUUCUGGAU
rnacentral:hammerhead_ribozyme from 1 species